rnacentral:rRNA from 1 species
AUUGAACGCUGGCGGCAGGCCUAACACAUGCAAGUCGAGCGGAUGAAGGGAGCUUGCUCCUGGAUUCAGCGGCGGACGGGUGAGUAAUGCCUAGGAAUCUGCCUGGUAGUGGGGGAUAACGUCCGGAAACGGGCGCUAAUACCGCAUACGUCCUGAGGGAGAAAGUGGGGGAUCUUCGGACCUCACGCUAUCAGAUGAGCCUAGGUCGGAUUAGCUAGUUGGUGGGGUAAAGGCCUACCAAGGCGACGAUCCGUAACUGGUCUGAGAGGAUGAUCAGUCACACUGGAACUGAGACACAGUCCAAACUCCUACGGGAGGCAGCAGUGGGGAAUAUAGGACAAUGGGCGAAAGCCUGAUCCAGCCAUGCCGCGUGUGUGAAGAAGGUCUUCGGAUUGUAAAGCACUUUAAGUUGGGAGGAAGGGCAGUAAGUUAAUACCUUGCUGUUUUGACGUUACCAACAGAAUAAGCACCGGCUAACUUCGUG